UCAAUAAAACAUUUUAUUGUUUACUGUAUAAAAUGUCCAGUGUUCUUCCACUCCGUUUGUUUGUAGUGAUCCAGUGAUCUAAAUGUCUGCUGUUCACAAACCUCAGCCUAGGCACACACACAAUUAUUACAGUGGUUGAAAUGCAGUAUAAAAUGUCCAAUGAUUGAGCUCCUGCACUUCAUUUGAUCCUAAAAGACAAGGAGAUUAUGGUUGGCUGUGCAGCAUUUGGAUGCUCCAAUCGGUCUGAGAAAGGGAUCGGGAUGUAUGGUUUUCCAAAAGACACAAACAGGAGAAAAAAAUGGAUGGCCCAAGUUGGCAGAAGGCACCUGACUGUCACAAGGAAAUUCAAUAAUAGAAAACUGUGUGGUGCACAUUUUGAGGGAGACCAAUUCACAAAAACAAAAAAAGG